UAAGCCUGUGAAGGUGUGUCGUGAGGCAUGCUGGAGGUAUCAGAAGUGCGAAUGCUGACAUAAGUAACGAUAAAGCGGGUGAAAAGCCCGCUCGCCGGAAGACCAAGGGUUCCUGUCCAACGUUAAUCGGGGCAGGGUGAGUCGACCCCUAAGGCGAGGCCGAAAGGCGUAGUCGAUGGGAAACGGGUUAAUAUUCCCGUACUUGGUGUUACUGCGAAGGGGGGACGGAGAAGGCUAUGUUGGCCGGGCGACGGUUGUCCCGGUUUAAGCGUGUAGGUGUGUGUUCCAGGUAAAUCCGGUUCACUUUAACACUGAGGCGUGACGACGAGGCACUACGGUGCUGAAGCAACAAAUGCCCUGCUUCCAGGAAAAGCCUCUAAGCAUCAGGUAACAUCAAAUCGUACCCCAAACCGACACAGGUGGUCAGGUAGAGAAUACCAAGGCGCUUGAGAGAACUCGGGUGAAGGAACUAGGCAAAAUGGUGCCGUAACUUCGGGAGAAGGCACGCUGACACGUAGGUGAAGUGAUUUACUCAUGGAGCUGAAGUCAGUCGAAGAUACCAGCUGGCUGCAACUGUUUAUUAAAAACACAGCACUGUGCAAACACGAAAGUGGACGUAUACGGUGUGACGCCUGCCCGGUGCCGGAA
rnacentral:rRNA from 1 species